CCUACGGGUGGCUGCAGUGGGGAAUAUUGCACAAUGGGCGCAAGCCUGAUGCAGCCAUGCCGCGUGUGUGAAGAAGGCCUUCGGGUUGUAAAGCACUUUCAGCGGGGAGGAAGGCGUUAAGGUUAAUAACCUUGGCGAUUGACGUUACCCGCAGAAGAAGCACCGGCUAACUCCGUGCCAGCAGCCGCGGUAAUACGGAGGGUGCAAGCGUUAAUCGGAAUUACUGGGCGUAAAGCGCACGCAGGCGGUCUGUCAAGUCGGAUGUGAAAUCCCCGGGCUCAACCUGGGAACUGCAUUCGAAACUGGCAGGCUAGAGGCUUGUAGAGGGGGGUAGAAUUCCAGGUGGAGCGGUGAAAUGCGUAGAGAGCUGGAGGAAUACCGGUGGCGAAGGCGGCCCCCUGGACAAAGACUGACGCUCAGGUGCGAAAGCGUGGGGAGCAAACAGGAUUAGAUACCCGAGUAGUC
rnacentral:rRNA from 1 species